GCAGCCGCCACGGUAAUACGUAGGGUGCAAGCGUUAAUCGGAAUUACUGGGCGUAAAGCGUGCGCAGGCGGUUUUGUAAGACAGAGGUGAAAUCCCCGGGCUCAACCUGGGAACUGCCUUUGUGACUGCAAGGCUUGAGUGCGGCAGAGGGGGAUGGAAUUCCGCGUGUAGCAGUGAAAUGCGUAGAUAUGCGGAGGAACACCGAUGGCGAAGGCAAUCCCCUGGGCCUGCACUGACGCUCAUGCACGAAAGCGUGGGGAGCAAACAGGAUUAGAUACCCCCGUAGUCCCUGUCUCUUAUAC
rnacentral:rRNA from 1 species